UAGGGAAUCUUCCGCAAUGGGCGAAAGCUUGACGGAGCAACGCCGCGUGAGUGAUGAAGGUCUUCGGAUCGUAAAACUCUGUUAUUAGGGAAGAACAAAUGUGUAAGUAACUAUGCACGUCUUGACGGUACCUAAUCAGAAAGCCACGGCUAACUACGUGCCAGCAGCCGCGGUAAUACGUAGGUGGCAAGCGUUAUCCGGAAUUAUUGGGCGUAAAGCGCGCGUAGGCGGUUUUUUAAGUCUGAUGUGAAAGCCCACGGCUCAACCGUGGAGGGUCAUUGGAAACUGGAAAACUUGAGUGCAGAAGAGGAAAGUGGAAUUCCAUGUGUAGCGGUGAAAUGCGCAGAGAUAUGGAGGAACACCAGUGGCGAAGGCGACUUUCUGGUCUGUAACUGACGCUGAUGUGCGAAGCGUGGGGAUCAAACAGG
rnacentral:rRNA from 1 species